GAUGAACGCUGGCGGCGUGCCUAAUACAUGCAAGUCGAGCGAACAGACGAGGAGCUUGCUCCUCUGACGUUAGCGGCGGACGGGUGAGUAACACGUGGAUAACCUACCUAUAAGACUGGGAUAACUUCGGGAAACCGGAGCUAAUACCGGAUAAUAUAUUGAACCGCAUGGUUCAAUAGUGAAAGACGGUUUUGCUGUCACUUAUAGAUGGAUCCGCGCCGGAUUAGCUAGUUGGUAAGGUAACGGCUUACCAAGGCGACGAUGCGUAGCCGACCUGAGAGGGUGAUCAGCCACACUGGAACUGAGACACGGUCCAGACUCCUACGGGAGGCAGCAGUAGGGAAUCUUCCGCAAUGGGCGAAAGCCUGACGGAGCAACGCCGCGUGAGUGAUGAAGGUCUUCGGAUCGUAAAACUCUGUUAUUAGGGAAGAACAAAUGUGUAAGUAACUAUGCACGUCUUGACGGUACCUAAUCAGAAAGCCACGGCUAACUACGUG
rnacentral:rRNA from 1 species